UAGUCCACGCCGUAAACAAUGGACAUUUGGUGUUGGAGGUAUUGACCCCUUCAGUGCCGUAGCUAACGCGUUAAGUGUCCCGCCUGGGGAGUACGGUCGCAAGAUUAAAACUCAAAGAAAUUGACGGGGGCCCGCACAAGCGGUGGAGCAUGUGGUUUAAUUCGAUGCAACGCGAAAUACCUUACCUGGGUUCGAAGUGUACGGGAAUACACCAGAGAUGGUGUAGCCCUCGGGCUCGUAUAUAGGUGCUGCAUGGCUGUCGUCAGCUCGUGUCGUGAGAUGUUGGGUUAAGUCCCGCAACGAGCGCAACCCUUACCUUUAGUUGCCAGCAUUCAGUUGGGCACUCUAAAGGGACUGCCGACGUUAAGUCGGAGGAAGGUGGGGAUGACGUCAAGUCCUCAUGGCCCUUAUGUCCAGGGCGACACACGUGCUACAAUGGAAGAUACAAAGGGUUGCCAAGCCGCGAGGUGGAGCUAAUCCCAAAAAAUCUUUCUAAGUUCGGAUUGGAGUCUGCAACUCGACUCC
rnacentral:rRNA from 1 species